AACACAGGUGCUGCAUGGCUGUCGUCAGCUCGUGUCGUGAGAUGUUGGGUUAAGUCCCGCAACGAGCGCAACCCUUGUCACUAGUUGCCACCAUUGAGUUGGGCACUCUAGUGAGACUGCCGGUGACAAACCGGAGGAAGGUGGGGAUGACGUCAAGUCCUCAUGGCCCUUAUGGGUAGGGCUUCACACGUCAUACAAUGGAUGGUACAAAGGGUCGCCAACCCGCGAGGGGGAGCCAAUCCCAUAAAGCCAUUCGUAGUCCGGAUCGCAGUCUGCAACUCGACUGCGUGAAGUCGGAAUCGCUAGUAGUCGUGGAUCAGAAUGUCACGGUGAAUACGUUCCCGGGUCUU
rnacentral:rRNA from 1 species